rnacentral:lncRNA from 1 species
GGCGGGCGAGGGUCCCGGCAGGUCCCGCCGCUGCGACUGGGGCGCUGCGCCGCCGUCGCCGCAGACGGUUAUGGUAAUGAGCGGCUCUGUCUAGCGAGGAGCGUGUGAAACCCGUCAAUCCUGUUUGCCAUUUCCCCGUGGAUUUCCGAGGAGAGGUUCUGCAGGAUGCCCCCAGGGACCAAGCAGUUACUCUCCCCUCGCCGCCCGCCCCCGCCGGCUCCCCUCCUGAGCUGCAUAUGUAAGAAAAAGCAACCUUGGUCCUGCUGCAACUUGAAUUGGCAACCCUUCCUCUGGGUGGGGAUCCUCCAGAGAAAACCUCCAGGAAAUAAAAAGUAAUAAAGGAGGUUGUCUUUGCUCAAGAGAAUGUAAUCUGAGCCCCAGAAUCAGAGUAUUUUGCAAAUAGUAAUUUUCCCCUGCAUUGGGCUCAAUUGGAGUUUGUUUUUUAAAACAUUAAUUCAUAACUUCUGUCUAGGGACCGCUCCGUAGCGGAGAUGGGUCAUUUCAGGUGCAGUGAAGGCAGAGGCUUGGAAUAGACCUAAUAAAACCGGGAGAAGGCACCUGCACGAAAGUGUCACAAAGACUAUAAUGUUUGUUUACUGCUACUACGCCAGAUGCGCUAAAUAUAACACUUCUUUAAAACAGUGAUCCUCCGACUGUGAAAAACCAAACCUCUGGCUGCCUGGCUCCCUAGGAAUCCAGGACCUGCACAGACUGAAAAUCAGGGAGGGAAGGAACAAGAUCAAGGAUGAGGAUUAGCAUCUGCAAAUUGAACUCUAUCUAAUUUGCAUGUUUAUUUCUUAGAAUUGUAAUUAAAUUUGUGUAAUAAAUGUUUUCCAUUUCAUUUGUACACUUAAAAUCUGGGUGACUGACAUGCAGUUAAGUGAAUUUCCUUUUUUUUUUUUUUAAAGCAAAUGCAGUUUAUUCAAUAAAGCAGCAAACAAAUAUUAAACAUAAUUAGAACUAAUCUGUUCCGAAGGUGUUUUUGUUGAACUUUGUACAUUAAAGACUCUCAGAGGUUUUGAGGGUAUUAGGAAGCUGAGAGACGGCAAUUAUGCUGAAAACAGACGAACCCAACAGCCUACCAGGAGCUUUAUUCCAUUUUUUCCAAAAGACAUUCCAGGGUUGCAUGCCUAAAAUUGGGAAUUGGGCAUCCAUCUUGGCUGUAUUCUGAACCAUAUUAAAUUGCAUUGGCUCAUGCUCCAUGUAGGUCAUUAUGAUGACAAUUUAAGAAUUGUAAAGAUGCCAUUUUGUAUAAUCAAUGGGAGUUGCAUGCGUCCAGAUUAAGGGUAGAAUAUAAUUUUCAUUUGAGUGGGGGAGCAGAGUAAGGACAGGCAAAGGGCAUUUAAAGCAGUUAAACUACUUAAAAAUCUAAAUCAGUAUCUAAAACUGGUUAUUGUCUAAGUCAAAUAAAGAACUAAAUGUGAGGGCUUGGAGGCAUGGCUUAUUAUGGUUUUUAUCUCCCUAUAUUAAAGUUUUAUAGCAUUUAAAGGACUAUGGGGAAAUCCCCACAUACACUUGGCUGUGUCAAAAUGCAUAAAACCAAAAGGAGCAAAUUAAGCAUAAAAUUGAGAAAUAACAUGAGACUAAGUAUCAGCAUGGGUGCAUUGGCAUCUUUGGAGCUUUGGCUCUGACAAAUGAGCCUUCUGGGAAAUUGGCAUUGCCCUUGGGUGGAGAAGACUCUUGGCUUUAAUGUUACAACAAAAUGACAUCACAACACGAAUCUCAAAUCAUUGUACCUCACAGCACACUUGCAGUUCUGAGUGUAACCUCAACCCUGUCCUGUUCGGAUCCAUUAGGUUAGCAUAUUUUACUGACAGCUUUCCCUGCCCUACUUUUAAUCCCAAGCUUAAUGUUUUCUGAGAUUCAGUGCCCAACUGUUGACAACGUGAACCUGUGUCUACAAGUAGAAAAGGCAGUCAAAGGUCUAUGGAAUGAGAAAUAUCAUUUAAAAAUUUAAAGGAAGGGGUGGCUAUGGCAUGAGAAAAGAACUGACUAUAAAUCAACAAUGAAAUAUUUGAAAUAAGUGAAUGUUAUUUAUAAUGAGGUACAAUAUUCAACUGAGAGCAAUGAUGUCAUCGUUUUGGGGGGUGUGUGUGUGUGUGUGUAUGAGAGACAGAGAGAGAGAAGUUCCAAGAUAGAAGUUUGGUUGUAAAACUUAAAAUACUUUGAGCUGCAAAUUUACUGAAGGCAGAGAUUGUUUUUCUUCAGUUAACAAAGAGAGUGCCAGACUUAAAACUGCUGAAACCCAUUUCACGAAACCUUUUUCUCAUUAGAUAGGGAGAUUUCACAAGUAAAAUUUGACUUCUUCAGAUUGCUGUGGACACCAUGCCCAUGUGGAUUAAUAAAAAGUCUGAAUUACUGGCUUUUUGAAAAAAAAAUGCAAGCUUUUUAUAGCAAAAGAAGGCAUCGACACUCAGUCUCCCCAGUUCCUCUUCUCCUGAUCUCAAACCUUUCUUUAUUAGACUUUCUUAUUCCAUUACUCCAUUGAAACCCCAUUCCAGCCCAUGUCACCAGUGACUUCCACAUUGC